GAUGAAGAACGUAGCGAAAUGCGAUAAGUAGUGUGAAUUGCAGAAUUCAGUGAAUCAUCGAAUCUUUGAACGCACAUUGCGCCCUUUGGUAUUCCUUAGGGCAUGCCUGUUCGAGCGUCAUUUAAACCUUCAAGCUAAGCUUGGUGUUGGGUGACUGUCCGCUUCACGGCGGACUCGCCUCAAAAUUAUUGGCGGCCGGUACAUUGGCUUCGAGCGCAGCAGAAACGCGAACUCGGGCCCGUCGUAUUGGCUACCAGAAGCUAUCUUCACAAUUUUGACCUCGGAUCAGGUAGGGAUACCCGCUGAACUUAAGCAUAUCAAUAAGCGGAGGA
rnacentral:misc_RNA from 1 species